AACGGAUACCUUGGCUCUCGCAUCGAUGAGGAACAUAACGAAAUGUGAUACUUGGUGUGAAUUGCAGAAUCCCGUGAACCAUCGAGUCUUUGAACGUAAGUUGCGCCCAAAGCCAUUAGGCCGAGGGCACGUCUGCCUGGGCAUCACACA
rnacentral:rRNA from 1 species